UGAACACCUGCCUUCCCUCUACAAGGAAGGAAGCCUGAUGACAUUAUGGAGAACAGCUCUGAAGCAGAUUCACUUACAUUUCACACAUCAAUGAGCUGCAGAUGCAGCUGGGAUGCUGUGCAGCUGCUGGUUGUUCCAGCCACCAACCUUCCCAAUCUCUCAUUUCCUCUGCCAUAAAGAGAGGAAAAAAGUAGAUCUUCACAUAUGCAGAGUUUUCAGAGCUUGCUCCUGCCUGUGCAGUUGUGCCAAAUGCAGGGCCCUUUCCACACACAAGAAUAGGAAGAGUAAUGCGGAGAGCAAACUGCUUGAAAAUAUAAUGGGUUCAGCUUAAAAAUAAAGGAUCUACUGCAAGAGCCAAAAUAUACCCAAAGGUUUCUGCUGUUUGAACCAACAUUAUCUACUUCUCCCAGAACUGCAGCCUCUGGAGAAAUUUUGGCAAGGAUCUUGUGACAAUGCACCAACCAGGGAACAAAAUGAACUGCCUGGAUGGGCACUAGGCCUGCAUGUAAAUAACUUCUCCUGCAGUGUAUGCAGAUUCUUGAAACAUCCACAAGUUCAGGGGAACUGACCUGCUUCUUACAUUUGGAGUUGGUGGUUUCAGGGAGAACAAACGCUGUGGCAGAAAACCUAUGAGUAAAAAGGCAAGAAAGGAAAUGGAAACUAAAGAUGCAAAUGGCAAGAAAAGAUAAAAAUAUCACGCCUGCAAAAAAAUGGCUGAAGAUGCAGACAGAUAACCCAAAGCAAAAACAUCCACUCUCUAAAUCCAAAGGUCAUCUCUAACCACAAAAGUUGAGGGGGAAAAAAACAAGUCAUCACAGAAGUGCAGCUGACACCCCUGGUCUAACGAACAAGUGACAAACAUGCAGCUGCUACUAUAAAAGAUGAGUAAGAGAGAAAAGACUUUGCGGGGGGACAACUUCUGCACAACAAUGAGGCAUCAGUACAUGUCCAACAGACCCUCAGCCUCCUUUUCUUUGUGCUCAGCUUGGUUGGCCACCAAGCUGACUUGAACACCUAAGGACUGGUAACAUCAGAAUGGGGUGUGUGUGUGUGUGUGUGUGUGUGUGUGUGUGUGUGUGUGUGUGUGUAUGGUAAUGUGUGUCUGCAAGUGUAGCGAUUUAAGCAAUAAGGAUAUAAUGGUCUAAUAUUUUUGUGUUCAAUAAACAUGGCUUAUUGCCUUUGC